CGCGCAACCUGGGAACAAAUCCACAGCCUGUCCCUUUUUAAGUUUUUUCAAUCGCAUCUCUCGUCCGGUUUUGUUUUGAUUGCGACCGGGCCGACGGACACGUUUCGCCCCACGCCAGUACGGAACAGUCGCGCGUCCGACAACCAUAAUCAUACGUUUCGGUCCGAGUGCUAGUCUUUUGUCGUGUUGCUUUUGCGUUAGACUGUGUUACAAAAGGUGUUUUGUGUUCCGGGCAAGGUAAACCGCUGCGACAACCGAAACGCCUACUCGGCAGGACUAAGGCCCAAAAACCAACACAACAAACGGCGAGAACGUUCAGAAGGACGACUUGGAGGACCGACCGUCGGUGGUGGAGGAGGACGUGCAGUAGCGAGAGUACGUGUGCCGCGGCGGACCGCACGAAAAUGGUGCAUUGAAAGACUCAAAAGUGGGUCAUAAUUUAAUGGCAGUUGCGGGCCCGAGUUGCCACCCUCGUGUGUCCAUGUCCAUCUCGAUGAGUCUGAUGCAGGGUACAGUUGGGCCAACGGCCGGGGGCCAGCAGGGGGGCCUGCACGCCGCCCAGCCGUACUACCAUCCCGCCCAGCAUGCCGCCGCCCCGGCACAUACCCAGGAACAAGUGCAGCCGGACAGGCCGAUCGGCUACGGGGCCUUCGGAGUCGUUUGGGCCGUCACAGACCCGAGGGACGGCAGACGGGUGGCACUGAAAAAGUUACCGAACGUGUUCCAAUCCCUGGUAUCAUCUAAGAGGGUGUUUCGAGAAUUAAAGAUGCUGUGUUUUUUCAAACACGAAAACGUUCUGUCAGCGUUAGACAUUCUCCAGCCACCACAUCUAGACUUCUUCCAAGAAAUAUACGUCAUAACGGAACUAUUACAGAGCGACUUACACAAAAUCAUCGUGUCGCAUCAGCCCCUGUCGUCGGAUCACAUAAAAGUUUUCCUGUACCAGAUACUUAGAGGUUUAAAAUAUUUGCACUCGGCUAGGAUAUUGCACAGGGACAUCAAGCCCGGGAAUCUCCUAGUAAACAGUAAUUGUGUUCUAAAGAUCUGUGAUUUUGGUCUGGCACGCGUGGAAGAGCCAGACGUGAGCAAACACAUGACCCAAGAGGUAGUGACGCAGUAUUACAGGGCACCCGAGAUCCUGAUGGGGGCUAAACACUACACCGCCGCCGUCGACGUCUGGUCGGUCGGCUGCAUAUUCGGCGAGCUGCUGGGUCGUCGGAUACUCUUCCAGGCCCAAAACCCCGUCCAGCAACUGGAACUGAUCACCGAGCUGCUGGGCACACCGACCAUGGAAGACAUGAAGUACGCAUGCGAAGGCGCACGCUCCCACAUGCUGAGGCGAGCGCCCAAACCGCCCAGUCUGUCCGCCCUCUAUACGCUGAGUUCGCAGGCCACCCACGAGGUGGUGCAUUUACUGUGUCAGAUGCUUGUGUUCGAUCCCGAUAAAAGGAUAUCGGUGGUGGACGCGUUGGCACAUCCCUAUCUGGACGAGGGCAGGCUGAGGUACCAUUCGUGCAUGUGCAAGUGCUGCUACACGACGGCCAGCGGUAUGAGACAGUACACGCAGGAGUUCGAGAGUCAGGCGCCCACACCGUUCGACGACCAUUGGGAAAAGAAAUUGACGUCCGUGCAGCAAGUUAAAGAGGAGAUGCACAAGUUCAUUGCGGAGCAGCUGAACACGUCGCGGGUGCCGCUGUGCAUCAACCCCCAGUCGGCGGCGUUCAAGAGUUUCGCCAGGUAAGACGGCCAUCGCCGCGCAGCGACGCGCAGCGACCGAGCCGCAGAAACAACGCGCCAACGCAGCGCCAUUGCAUAGGUGACGAAAAACAACAUCCAACCAACCAAAAAUAUACAAUAUCAAGACCCAACCAACCAACACCUCACUACCACAACCCCUCUACAAGUCGUAACACUCCAACCAAAUCUAUUUGGUUUCGACAGUCGCCCAUCCGUCGGAGUUGCCUCCCUCGCCCCACCAAUGGGAUUGACAAUGGGGUGCGGUCCGGAGAUAACGGCUCCAAACGCUGCGACUUUUGUAUUAUAUUUUCUUCACCGCAAUCUCUCUACUCAGACU